rnacentral:lncRNA from 1 species
GAAUUUAAAAGACACAAUUUCCGUAUCCGUUAUAACUUUCGAAUGUCUGGGGUGGUAAACAAGACUCUGCAAUAUAUCUUUUCUUCAAUGGUAAAUCAAUCUUGUUAUAGAAACAUCUUUCAUCAGUCAAAUCCUCCCUAGAACAAAACAGCUUGGCUCUACGGCUUUCAAGGCUUUCGAACUUUGUGGUGUGCUGCCAUGUAAAAGUAGCAACAUGAUCAAUUUUAGCAAUCCUAUUUGUUAGAGUGGAGGGCUGAAGUACCUUCUGAGGCAAUGAACUCCGGAAAGUCUCAGCUGUGCAUUACUAUUGAUGCCUGAAAAUAUUUCCAAUGACAUAUGAUAAAUGGGAGCUUUUUCCAGCUGGUAUCCAGUUGCUUGGUACUUGCAACUCAUACGAUCAAUCUUUCUCAGUCAGAGAAGUUUUGAAUUAUAGCGUUUGUCACCUGUUCUAAUAAACUUGACAAACAAUUUUCAAGGCUCAAAAGAAAGGAGAAGUUCAGAAACACAAGACAAGGUUAUUGGUACUAAAUAUUAUGGUAACGGUGGCCAGAGCCAUUUUGCUUCUGGGCAGGCAUCAGCAUUUGUUUCUUGCAAAGACGAGAGAUUACUCAAGCCAAGAGGUACCUUCUAAUUAUAAGUACUUCUCUGUUGUGGGCAAAUACGGGCUAGUUGGAACAUAGUAAGUACGCUGCCUGCUUGUUAUUCAUCAUGACACGUUUACAAUACUUUACAUCAUUUAGAAAUUGGAGUCUCUGUACUCUCCGCGAAUAUGUAAGAAAGUGUAUGUACUGCUAGCUUCGUGAAGGCGUGAAAUAUAAUGUAUAUAUGGUUAUGGAGUUCUUCUUUUACAAAUCCUAGUUGGCAAAAGAUCUUCAUGCUAUUAUCAAUGGCC